AUGCUUGCUUUGGCAGCACAUAUAAAAAAAAAUUGUAACAAUACAGAGAUCAAUGUGGCCCCUACUCAAGGAUGACAAAUUUGUGAAGGGUUCCAUAUUUUA
ensembl:snRNA U6 U6 spliceosomal RNA